CCCUUAGAUGUUCUGGGCUGCACGCGCGCUACACUGAUGCACUCAACGAGUUUACGACCUUGCCCGAUAGGGUUGGGUAAUCUUUUUAAAAUGCAUCGUGAUGGGGAUAGAUUAUUGCAAUUAUUAAUCUUCAACGAGGAAUUCCUAGUAAGCGCGAGUCAUCAGCUCGUGCUGAUUACGUCCCUGCCCUUUGUACACACCGCCCGUCGCUCCUACCGAUUGAGUGCUCAGGUGAAUAAUUCGGACUGCAGCAAUGUUUGAAUCCCGAACGUUGCAGCGGAAAGUUUAGUGAACCUUAUCACUUAGAGGAAGGAGAAGUCGUAACA
rnacentral:rRNA from 1 species